UGUGGUACCUGCAGUUUGCUGCUCCGAAGCCCGCCGCUUGCUUUCCCCAUCCAUGUAGGAGCUGAGUGCCCUAGAGAAGUGCUCGUCUACCACAGUGCUGAUGUCCCCCUGGUAGUAGGUGAAGAGGACGCAGCGGGAUGUCAGGUACUCGGCCUCGGGGCCCUCCUGCUUGUCCUUGGGACCACCCUCGUCUGGCCGUGGAGCUGCCGAUGUGUAGGAGGAUGAAGACGAGGAGGAAGAGGAGGAGGAAGCCGACGAAGAGGAUGAGGUUGUGGAUCCGCCAACGGUGCCCUGGCCCCCGGACAUCCCUUCUGGACCCCUAGGAGUGUCCAUAAAGUCCCGACACAGAGUUAUGUGACAUAACCGAGAUGAAUUGAGAUCUAUCGGUGUGGAAAAGCUUAUAAGCAAUUUCUAAAGCUUUGGGACUCCAACAAACCACAGUGAGAGCCAUUAUCCACACAUGGCGAAAACAGGGAACAAUGGUGAAUCUUCCCAGGAGUGGCCGGCCAACCAAAUUAACCCCAAGAGCGCAACAACGAUCCUCCGAGAGGUCACAAAAGGUCCCACAACAACAUCCAAAGAACUGCAGGACUCACUUGCCUCAAUUUAGAAAACAUCCUGAUGAUCCCCAAGACCUUGGGAAAAUACUCUGUGGUCUGACGAGACAAAAGGGGUGUCUCAACUACCACCGAGGUCCAUAUACUAAAAAAUGAAAGGAUGCAACGGUCACUUACAAA